rnacentral:lncRNA from 1 species
GGAGAGCCACAGAUGGGUCUCCGCUGAUGCUUCUCUCAAUUUCCUCUAAGAGCGAGAGCUCCGGGAAAGGAGCCGAUCCUGGUGGAAGACUACAGGUCUGAGUCCACUGGACGAAAAACGAGGCUCCUUGGAUUAGAGACCAUCCUGAGGACAUCCUUGGGAGCCAUGUGCUGAAGAUGGCCAAGCCACAGGAUGAAAGGAGCUGCAUCUUUGAGUCACCACUGGAGAAAGGUCUCUCUAAAUGGAUUUGCAGAGACGUCUUCUCGAAUACUCCCCUUCUAAGUUCCACUUGUAAUCCACUUCUUCUAUUCUCCCAGCAAUCAAUGUGGUUUGGGGAAAUUCCAGAAUCUCAUAAUACCUUGGUCAUGGGUAAAUAAGGAAAGGACCUUUACAUACAUGUGAUGCAAAGCAGAUCAAAACAAGCAGAGCAGCCUAAGAGCAGCAAGACCCCAAAGGAUAAGGGAAGUCCUGCAGAAGAGCAGAGCGGUGCUGCAAAGGCAGGCAGGUAAGAGAUGAGGUUUCGCCAUGUUGACCAGGCUGGUCUCAAACUCCUGGACUCAAGUGAUCUGCCCACCUCGGCCUCCCAAAGUACUGGGAUUACAGGCAUGAGCCAAUGUGCCCGUCCUGAGGAGUUUUCUUCUGGAAUUCCUGCUGGGUUUUUGUAGUCAGUCCUCUCCCCAUUUCCCACAUUGGCUCUUGCAGACCUUCCUUUUCCCCAUUUCUAUUUGCUACCAUGUCAGACAUGACUUUUGCCAUAGGAUCUCUAUUCUACUAUAGAGGAAACCAAAGCCAUCAGUAGAAAUUUCACUAACAUGGAAUCAGAUUUAUAGAAGAAAGGGGGAGGAAAGUUUUGCCUUAACACCUGGAAGGGUUUCGUUUCUUUUAGUAGCUGGGAGACAGAAACAUAAGAAAGUAGCUUAGUAAGCUUUCUGCUGUUCAACUGAUGAUGUGUGAGCUGUCAGUAGUUCAAACUAGUCAUUAUCUUUAUGAAUUAAUUAUGUAAUAACUUAAACAAUGUCAUAAACCUUCAAA